rnacentral:lncRNA from 1 species
UUUUGCAGUACCACUUAUAAACCCCUCAAGAUUGUGAGAAUCCAAAAUUAGACGAACAUGUCGCGUCCAACUUAAGUAGGUACCCGGCCUAUCCAAUUUGACCGGAUUAGUUUCUAGGGUGAUCUUUGAAAACUCACUACCCGAGAUACGAGAUUCCAUCAUCCUAACCAUUAACUUUUCUAAAUCCUCCAUGGUUAAAGGAGUUUUAUCAUCCAUAACAAAAACUUAAAUGAUCAAGUAAACAAGA